CCUACGGGUGGCAGCAGUGGGGAAUAUUGCACAAUGGGGGAAACCCUGAUGCAGCGACGCCGCGUGAAGGAAGAAGUACUUCGGUAUGUAAACUUCUAUCAGCAGGGAAGAAAAUGACGGUACCUGACUAAGAAGCCCCGGCUAACUACGUGCCAGCAGCCGCGGUAAUACGUAGGGGGCAAGCGUUAUCCGGAUUUACUGGGUGUAAAGGGAGCGUAGGCGGCGGUGCAAGUCAGAAGUGAAAGCCCGGGGCUCAACUCCGGGACUGCUUUUGAAACUGUGUUGCUAGAGUGCAGGAGAGGUAAGUGGAAUUCCUAGUGUAGCGGUGAAAUGCGUAGAUAUUAGGAGGAACACCAGUGGCGAAGGCGGCUUACUGGACUGUAAAUGACGCUGAGGCUCGAAAGCGUGGGGAGCAAACAGGAUUAGAUACCCUAGUAGUC
rnacentral:rRNA from 1 species